rnacentral:lncRNA from 1 species
CAAAAUUUAAGCUAUGAACAACAUUUCAGUAUUCCUAAAAGCUGAAGUAAAUGCCAUGUCAUGUAGUUAACUAUUCAAAAUUACUGACAAAGUGACACUACAGACUUCAUAUAACUAAAGCGUACUUCAUAUAACUAAAGCAUCUUUUAAAUAGUUAUAAAAUGGAGGUAAAUAUGAUUACUAAAGCACUAAGAAACUUAAAAUAUAGUGCACAUAAAAAUGAAGACCAGGUGAGAACCAAAAUGAUAUUCGGCCAGCCCAUGCAGUAACAGACUAACAGUCAUCCUGAUUCUUUCAAUUAAAUCAAUAAAUCAUUAUCUUUCCUCAAAGAUACUCGUACUGUUUUCUUGAGAUAAUCCCAUAUUCAGCGCUGCUGCACUAGUUCGGUCCCAAGUCCCAACAUCAAGUCCAGCCUCGUUGCCCUGUUACAAGACAAGCCCCCCUCGCCGGAACCUCCUCCCGGCCUAUGCUAAAAAAAAUACAUAGGAGGGACAUACCUUGGGACGACGAAGAAUGGGGAGAGGGAGAUCCGCGGAAUGGGGAGCCGGAAGUCGGGAGAUCUAGGGCACCGCCGCACCGGGCACAGAAGCUGUCUUCUCUUCUCCGCCGCCGCAGCUCAAGAUCUACUUAUCCAUUAUCAUAAUAGAACAAGAAUAGCAUUAGGUAUAGGCGUACAGCAAGGUCCUUGGGACGCUGAAGAAUGGAGAGAGGCCAAGGGGGAGAUCCGCGUCCGCGGACUGGAGACUGGAGAGCCGGAAGUCGGGCACGGCCACACGGAAGCGGUCUACUCUUCUCCGCCGCCGCAGCUCAAGAUCUAGGGCACGGGGCACCUGGGCACGAUCGCACGGGAUCGAAAAAGAGAGGAAGGCGCUCAAGAUCCAGGGCACCUGGGCUGCUGGGCAGUGGGCACGGCCGCACGGGAUCGAAAAGGAGAGGAAGGCUGGAAGGCGAUCGAGAUCUAGGGCACGGCCGUCGGCCACACGGAAAUAC